rnacentral:rRNA from 1 species
CAGUCGCCGCGGAAUACAGAGGGUGCGAGCGUUAAUCGGAUUUACUGGGCGUAAAGCGUGCGUAGGCGGCUUCUUAAGUCGGAUGUGAAAUCCCUGAGCUUAACUUAGGAAUUGCAUUCGAUACUGGGAAGCUAGAGUAUGGGAGAGGAUGGUAGAAUUCCAGGUGUAGCGGUGAAAUGCGUAGAGAUCUGGAGGAAUACCGAUGGCGAAGGCAGCCAUCUGGCCUAAUACUGACGCUGAGGUACGAAAGCAUGGGGAGCAAACAGGAUUAGAUACCCGCGUAGUCCCUGUCUCUUAUACA